GCAUAUCAAUAAGCGGAGGAAAAGAAACUAACUAGGAUUCCCUUAGUAACGGCGAGUGAACCGGGAUGAGCUCAAAUUUGAAAUCUGGCGUCUUUCAGGCGUCCGAGUUGUAAUCUAUAGAGGCGUUUUCCGCGCCGGACCGCGUCCAAGUCUCUUGGAAUAGAGUAUCAAAGAGGGUGACAAUCCCGUACUUGACGCGACAACCGGUGCUCUGUGAUACGUUCUCAAUGAGUCGAGUUGUUUGGGAAUGCAGCUCUAAAUGGGUGGUAAAUUCCAUCUAAGGCUAAAUAUUGGCGAGAGACCGAUAGCGAACAAGUACCGUGAGGGAAAGAUGAAAAGCACUUUGGAAAGAGAGUUAAACAGCACGUGAAAUUGUUAAAAGGGAAACGAUUGAAGUCAGUCGUGUGAGGGGUAUUCAGCCGUCUCUGGCGGUGUAUUUGCCUCUCACGGGUCAACAUCAGUUUGAUCCGGUAGAAAAAGGCGGGAGGAAGGUGGCACCCUCGGGUGUGUUAUAGCCUCCUGUCAUAUGUGCCGGACCAGACUGAGGAACGCAGCUUGCAGCAAUGCCGGGAUUCGUCCACGUACAGCUUAGGAUGUUGACAUAAUGGCUUUAAACGACCCGUCUUGAAACACGGACCA
rnacentral:rRNA from 1 species